rnacentral:rRNA from 1 species
UACGGAGGGUGCAAGCGUUAUCCGGAUUCACUGGGUUUAAAGGGUGCGUAGGUGGGCAGGUAAGUCAGUGGUGAAAUCUCUGGGCUUAACCCGGAAACUGCCGUUGAUACUAUCUGUCUUGAAUAUAGUGGAGGUAAGCGGAAUAUGUCAUGUAGCGGUGAAAUGCUUAGAUAUGACAUAGAACAUCGAUUGCGAAGGCAGCUCGCUACACUAUGAUUGACACUGAGGCACGAAAGCGUGGGGAUCAAACAGG